rnacentral:rRNA from 1 species
UGGUGGAGCGAUUUGUCUGGUUAAUUCCGAUAACGAACGAGACUCUGACCUACUAAGUAGUUGGCAGUUCAAUGCGACUGCAAAACUUCUUAGAGGGACUAGCGGUGCUAACCGCACGAGAUUGAGCAAUAACA